rnacentral:rRNA from 1 species
UUGAACGCUGGCGGCAUGCCUUACACAUGCAAGUCGAACGCGAAAGGGGGCAACCCUGAGUAGAGUGGCGAACGGGUGAGUAAUACAUCGGAACAUACCCAGUAGUGGGGGAUAACCAGUCGAAAGACUGGCUAAUACCGCAUACGACCUACGGGUGAAGGCGGGGGACCGCAAGGCCUCGCGCUAUUGGAUUGGCCGAUGUCCGAUUAGCUUGUUGGCGGGGUAAAAGCCCACCAAGGCGACGAUCGGUAGCUGGUCUGAGAGGAUGAUCAGCCACACUGGGACUGAGACACGGCCCAGACUCCUACGGGAGGCAGCAGUGGGGAAUUUUGGACAAUGGGCGCAAGCCUGAUCCAGCCAUGCCGCGUGUGUGAAGAAGGCCUUCGGGUUGUAAAGCACUUUCGGCCGGGACGAAAUCGCUCGGGUUAACACCCAGGGUGGAUGACGGUACCGGAAGAAGAAGCACCGGCUAACUACGU